AUGCUAAUUCAUAGAAAGCAUCUCUUGCUUGCGUUAAUUUGGCCUAGAGUGCUACAUCGUGGCCGGCGGGGCUUAACGGGCCCGCUUCGGGCCUGGCUGGGCCAGGGGUGGCCCAGCAUGCCCCGCGGGCAUGUCCGGACGGCUACCGCGACGGUGCCGGAGGCAUGGGCCUCCCGCACGACGGCGGUGGAGGUGGUUCCCUCCCGCUCGGCGUCGGUGUCGCGGCUCCCGUCGUGGUGCGCUUUUCUCCGGUCCUCUUGGCCUCGUGGUGGUGUUCGUAGUGAGGCGGCGUUGGUGGCGGCGCUACUGCGUUGGCGCAUGGGGGUGGGCGACGGUUUGGCGGGUCGGUUCCAUCCGGUUGGGCAGUUGGGUCUGGGAAUGCGGGAGAAAUCCCUGCCGGCUUCGGCCCCGAGGCGGUGA
rnacentral:rRNA from 1 species